rnacentral:rRNA from 1 species
ACGGGGUGCAGCAGGCGCGAAAACUUUACAAUGCGGGAAACCGUGAUAAGGGAACUCCGAGUGCCCGUAAAAUCGGGCUGUCCACCAGUUUAAAUAACUGGUGAAGAAAGGGCCGGGCAAGACCGGUGCCAGCCGCCGCGGUAAUACCGGCGGCUCGAGUGGUGGCCACUAUUACUGGGCUUAAAGCGUUCGUAGCUGGUCUGUUAAGUCUCUGGGGAAAUCUACUGGCUUAACCAAUAGGCGUCUCAGGGAUACUGGCAGACUAGAGACCGGGAGAGGUGAGAGGUACUCCAGGGGUAGGAGUGAAAUCCUGUAAUCCUUGGGGGACCACCUGUGGCGAAGGCGUCUCACCAGAACGGCUCCGACAGUGAGGGACGAAAGCUGGGGGAGCAAACUGGAUUAGAUACCCGGGUAGUCCCAGCUGUAAACGAUGCGCGUUAGGUGUAUCGGUGACCACGAGUCACCGAGGUGCCGAAGAGAAAUCGUGAAACGUGCCGCCUGGGAAGUACGGUCGCAAGGCUGAAACUUAAAGGAAUUGGCGGGGGAGCAC